GGGCCCGCACAAGCGGUGGAGCAUGUGGUUUAAUUCGAUGAUACGCGAGGAACCUUACCAGGGCUUAAAUGUAGUCUGACAGAUUUGGAAACAGAUUUUUCUUCGGACAGAUUACAAGGUGCUGCAUGGUUGUCGUCAGCUCGUGCCGUGAGGUGUCAGGUUAAGUCCUAUAACGAGCGCAACCCCUGUGGUUAGUUGCCAGCGAGUCAAGUCGGGAACUCUAGCCAGACUGCCGGUGCAAACCGUGAGGAAGGUGGGGAUGACGUCAAAUCAUCACGGCCCUUACGUCCUGGGCCACACACGUGCUACAAUGGUAGGUACAGAGAGCAGCCACGUCGCAAGGCGGAGCGAAUCUAUAAAACCUAUCACAGUUCGGAUCGGGGUCUGCAACUCGACCCCGUGAAGCUGGAAUCGCUAGUAAUCGCAUAUC
rnacentral:rRNA from 1 species